rnacentral:rRNA from 1 species
UCGAGCGGACAGAAGGGAGCUUGCUCCCGGAUGUUAGCGGCGGACGGGUGAGUAACACGUGGGUAACCUGCCUGUAAGACUGGGAUAACUCCGGGAAACCGGAGCUAAUACCGGAUAGUUCCUUGAACCGCAUGGUUCAAGGAUGAAAGACGGUUUCGGCUGUCACUUACAGAUGGACCCGCGGCGCAUUAGCUAGUUGGUGGGGUAAUGGCUCACCAAGGCGACGAUGCGUAGCCGACCUGAGAGGGUGAUCGGCCACACUGGGACUGAGACACGGCCCAGACUCCUACGGGAGGCAGCAGUAGGGAAUCUUCCGCAAUGGACGAAAGUCUGACGGAGCAACGCCGCGUGAGUGAUGAAGGUUUUCGGAUCGUAAAGCUCUGUUGUUAGGGAAGAACAAGUGCGAGAGUAACUGCUCGCACCUUGACGGUACCUAACCAGAAAGCCACGGCUAACUACGUGCCAGCAGCCGCGGUAAUACGUAGGUGGCAAGCGUUGUCCGGAAUUAUUGGGCGUAAAGGGCUCGCAGGCGGUUUCUUAAGUCUGAUGUGAAAGCCCCCGGCUCAACCGGGGAGGGUCAUUGGAAACUGGGAAACUUGAGUGCAGAAGAGGAGAGUGGAAUUCCACGUGUAGCGGUGAAAUGCGUAGAGAUGUGGAGGAACACCAGUGGCGAAGGCGACUCUCUGGUCUGUAACUGACGCUGAGGAGCGAAAGCGUGGGGAGCGAACAGGAUUAGAUACCCUGGUAGUCCACGCCGUACACGAUGAGUGCUAGGUGUUAGGGGGUUUCCGCCCCUUAGUGCUGCAGCUAACGCAUUAAGCACUCCGCCUGGGGAGUACGGUCGCAAGACUGAAACUCAAAGGAAUUGACGGGGGCCCGCACAAUCGGUGGAGCAUGUGGUUUAAU